GAAAUAUCAAUUAAAAAGAAAAUAAAGUAUAAUAAGAUGCUUUAUAGCUAUAACGAUAAACGAAUUUCGUAAUAACCAUUACGGACGUGGGGGCAGUACCCACCACCUCCACCAUUUAAAAUUAUGGGGGUGAAAUAGGAUCGACGGGUGACUAAAGGCUAUUCUUUCGUUCGGGAUUGUUCCACCGUAACGGGCUAAACUUUAAAUGCUAACGAAAGUUACGCUAUUGCUGCAUAAUUAACUUAGGUUAAUUAUAGAAGCACGGUCUGGGGCACCGGGUAACAGAACGCCCCUACU
rnacentral:tmRNA from 1 species